UACGAAGGGGGGCUAGCGUUGUUCGGAAUUACUGGGCGUAAAGCGAGUGUAGGUGGUUGUCCAAGUUGGAUGUGAAAGCCUUGAGCUCAACUCAAGAAAUGCAUUCAGGACUGGGUGACUAGAGGACCGGAGAGGAUAGUGGAAUUCCCAGUGUAGUGGUGAAAUACGUAGAGAUUGGGAAGAACACCAGUGGCGAAGGCGGCUAUCUGGACGGUUUCUGACACUUAAGACUCGAAAGCGUGGGGAGCAAACAGGA
rnacentral:rRNA from 1 species